CCCGCCGACUUAGCACGAAGAAACAGAAUGGGACCACAUGGAGCGUGGAAGUUGAAUUUAAUCAGCGGAAAGUUGAUUAUCUUUCACAAGUGUGCCAUUAAAAGUGGAAGUCUGUGUGUGUGUGGACCUCUGUGUGUGUGUGUGGACCUCUGUGUGUGUGUGUGGACCUCUGUGUGUCGCUCGUCAUGUGAAAUUGGUUACGUCUGACGGCGGCGCAUGACUGCACAGAACUCAAAAACAAGCGAGCUGUUUUUUUUUUUCCCCCACUUUGGCCUGAGACGAGAAGAGUUCUCUUACGAACAUUUAAAGGCUCAGUUCACA